GAAUCACACUGCUGCAUAUUUAGUUCCCCUUGCCAGAUGUCCACAUCCAGUAAUUUAUACUCUACAUGCACACUCUCAAGUCUGGAUGAGAAACUACACAAGCAGCACCAAGAAGAUGCAAUUCAAUCGUCCACCAGACUAAAGAGAUUGCAGCAGGGAGGAAGGAUGGGUGUGCAAAAUCACAGAUGAUCACUAGAAGAACACAAGUUACAGAUUUGCAGGAGACUAAGUCGACUGACAGAAAGCAUAGUCAAGUUAUGGCUAAAUCAGCCAAGUAGUGAGCCUCAGUGCCUCAAUGUCUGGGUGUAGCAAAGCUCCAUUGUGUUGGCUCCCAUUUGUUUAAACUUGCUGCUUGGAUGGAAUCUGCUGCAUGGUUGAUACUUUAAGCUAAAUUAGAAAUGAAAAGGCAGAGAUUACUUGACCUAUGCCUCAACAGAUCAAAAGAUGACAACACCAAGAUCAGAAAGAGGUAGCCAUAAUAGAAAAUCUGUAGAGUCUAGUGCAUAUGCAGAAAUGUUUGAGCCUGCCGAUAUUGCUUUCUGGAUCAUGGACUAUCAUCAACUAAGGACAAGAACCAGAAAGACCCUCAACAGGAAUCCAAGAUCACCCAAGUGCCAUUCUAGCUCCAUGUCCUUUCUUUUCAUAUCAAACAGUAUCUAACAAUAGAUUCCAGGAUAUAGUAACUUGGGGCUAAUUAGAAUACUACAGCUUUUAUUACCAAGAAUGUAAUUGCAAGCAGGGCUGCGGAAAUCCACUCAUGUAAUCUGCGAUGAUUGAAAAAUGAUCAGAUCACAUAAAUGUCCCUGCAACUAUGGUCAUAUACUGAAGCAGAAGUCAUCAGGCAGCCUGGAAGUUCCCUUCAAUCAGUCUACUCAGAAAGGAGAGGCAGCAAGUAAUUACACUUGCUCUAAUCAAGGCCCAGCUGAGGCUUCAGGAACAAGUGAUAGAUUGUUUUUUAAAGUGGUAGCUCUCUAACAUUUAGCAGGGGAGACUAACUAUCCACCUUGAAUUCAGCACAACAUUCCUCCCUCAGUGUUGCAUCUUUUGUCUCCUUUCCCUCUCUCUCCCUUCCAUCUCUCAACUUUACCCCAUGCAACACUGUGCACACUUUUUCCACUUCCGGCUAUGGAAACUACUUUGUGAGCGUUUUGUAAAGGAGCAGCAUAUACAUUUUUAAAAUAAAUAUGAAGUUGCUCAGUCACUACCUAAUGGUUGCUGGCACAGCAGUUCCUGAAGGACAACUCUGCAAGACCAGCUUCUGCUAGAUCACAUUACUGCUGAACCAGGCUCUUGAAUAAAACUCUACUUCUGUUCUCAUUGAAUUAACAAGUGUGCUACCCAGCAGAAUCAGGCUUCCCUGCCUUGAACCUGCCCGGACUGCCCCAAUUCUGCCAGACUAACACCACCCCCCACCACACACACACUUUAGGAAAUCUAUAGCAGAGCUUAAUACACCUCCUAGUUGCUCAAUACCCUACACAAAACCCGUUUUCUAACCCUGUGCUCUUAAAAUACAGUUUUAUUUUAUACUUCUCGGCCUUUUGGCUAAGAUCAAGUGUAGUGUACUUCAAACAGAGAUUUAGUAAUUCCUAACUAUUAACCUGCCAUUCUCAACUUUUCUUGACACAGAUAUUAAACUAUUCAAAGCCUCUCAAUUAAAUCAAUGUGUUUCUUCACAUAAAAUGGCAAGUCAGGUUCACAUACUAGAAUUUGACACAACCGAUUGCAAGAUAUAGUAUUUAUGUUUCAAUGUCUUGGACAGGUUUUUAAAUGCACUUGUGUUGCCCUUUAGAGUAAAGAUGAUAUUUCACAGGUGGUUAUUCCAUUUCAUAACACUAUAUAGAAUUCUUUGACAGGGGCCAGCAUCAAUACGAAGUACAACAUUUUUGUUUCAAGGCAUCCUCAGCCAACUCGGCGGGGGGGGGGCACCUCCCUUUCAGAACUACUCUGCUUUAUUACUUUGAGAACUCCGCUCUGCUUAGGACCACUCAAUGCACUGAUUCCUUUUAAACCAGCAUGAUAUACUAGAAUAAUAUCUGUACUACACAAGUUGAAAAUAUAAAGCAGCAUUGACUGUAUCAUCAAGCAAUUUAUGUCAUGCCGUCUUAGUAAGUUGCAACAAUAGCCAUGAAAACAUAUGAAGAAUGCAUUAAAUUCAUGAGAAAGGAAAAAUGCUACAGCAACUACUUACAUGCUAAUAAUAUUUUAUACUAUCAUGGUAUUUUCCCUUUUUGAAGUAAAAGGUUUCACUCCCCAACUCUGAAGAUAUUGGCAAAAUCUCACUCUUCUGCUGCAAAGGGAUGUAAUUAACCCAGCCCCUUCUCUCCAUUCAUCCCCUUAUUGACAUACUUGCUUUCAUCCUAAAGAUGUUUAUGGCCUCGUAUAGUAUAUGGCAGGUCCUGAGUGACCAUCCUAGACAAGUUGUCAGUAGAUCUUUUCAUUUCAGUACCAACUUCUGACAACUUGCCUGCUCCUCAAGUAAAGGAGCCUUCAGUGUCUCUCUUAAGGAAGCCCACUUUUAUUGCCAGCAAAAGUCCUAGCUCAGCAGAUUAUUUUGACUGGCAAGCAUGUUCAAAUCUUCAUUUAAAUUCA